CUCGAACAAUGACGGGCUGUUAUUUCGAUAAGUUCGAAAUAACACCCUUUAAGGCACCAAGGGCCUUCGCCAUCAAACAAAAGAAAGGUUCGACCUCGCUCGAACAACGACGGGCUAUUAUUUCGAUAAGUUCGAAAUAACUCCCUUUAAGGUGCCAAGGGCAUUCGCCAUCAAACAAAAGAAAGGUUCGACCUCGCUCGAACAACGACGGGUUGUUAUCGAUAAGUUCGAAAUAACACCCUUUAAGGCGCCAAGGGCCUUCGCCAUCAAACAAAAGAAAGGUUCGACCUCGCUCGAACAACGACGGGCUGUUAUUUCGAUAAGUUCGAAAUAACACCCUUUAAGGCACCAAGGGCCUUCGCCAUCAAACAAAAGAAAGGUUCGACCUCGCUCGAACAACGACGGG
rnacentral:lncRNA from 1 species